ACGCUCGACACCUACUGGAGGCAGCAGUAGGGAAUCUUCCACAAUGGACGCAAGUCUGAUGGAGCAACGCCGCGUGAGUGAAGAAGGUUUUCGGAUCGUAAAGCUCUGUUGUUGGUGAAGAAGGAUAGAGGUAGUAACUGGCCUUUAUUGACGGUAAUCAACCAGAAAGUCACGGCUAACUACGUGCCAGCAGCCGCGGUAAUCUGAGCGGCUGGCAAGGC
rnacentral:rRNA from 1 species